rnacentral:tmRNA from 1 species
GGGGACGACUGGUUUUGACUGCAAGGUCAAUUAAGGUAUAAGCAUGUCGAGUAAUGAAAUAGCACUCGUAAAUCUCAAUUUCAAAAAUUUAAACGGCGAAGA